GCCCCCAUAGCUCAGUUGGUAGAGCAUUCGCCUAGAUAGCGAAAGGCCCCCAGUUCAAGCCUGGGUGGAGGCA
rnacentral:tRNA from 1 species